GAAUAUUGCACAAUGGGCGGAAGCCUGAUGCAGCGACGCCGCGUGAGGGAUGACGGCCUUCGGGUUGUAAACCUCUUUCAGUAGGGAAGAAGCGAGAGUGACGGUACCUGCAGAAGAAGCGCCGGCUAACUACGUUCCAGCCGCCGCGGUAAUACGUAGGGCGCAAGCGUUGUCCGGAAUUAUUGGGCGUAAAGAGCUCGUAGGCGGUUGGUCGCGUCUGCUGUGAAAGCCCGGGGCUCAACCCCGGGUCUGCAGUGGGUACGGGCAGACUAGAGUGCAGUAGGGGAGACUGGAAUUCCUGGUGUAGCAGUGAAAUGCGCAGAUAUCAGGAGGAACACCGAUGGCGAAGGCAGGUCUCUGGGCUGUUACUGACGCUGAGGAGCGAAAGCAUGGGGAGCGAACAGG
rnacentral:rRNA from 1 species